rnacentral:rRNA from 1 species
GACGAACGCUGGCGGUGUGCUUAACACAUGCAAGUCGAACGGUAAGGCCCUUUCGGGGGUACACGAGUGGCGAACGGGUGAGUAACACGUGAGUAACCUGCCCUCAUCUCUGGGAUAACAGUCGGAAACGGUUGCUAAUACUGGAUAUGAGCUUGCAAGGCAUCUUUUGGGUUGGAAAGAUUUUUUUGGUUGGGGAUGGACUCGCGGCCUAUCAGCUUGUUGGUGGGGUAGUGGCUCACCAAGGCUUCGACGGGUAGCCGGCCUGAGAGGGCGACCGGCCACAUUGGGACUGAGAUACGGCCCAAACUCCUACGGGAGGCAGCAGUGGGGAAUAUUGCACAAUGGACGGAAGUCUGAUGCAGCAACGCCGCGUGCGGGAUGACGGCCUUCGGGUUGUAAACCGCUUUCAAUUGUGACGAAGCUUUUUGUGACGGUAGCAGUAGAAGAAGCACCGGCUAACUACGUG